rnacentral:rRNA from 1 species
UACAGAGGGUGCGAGCGUUAAUCGGAAUUACUGGGCGUAAAGCGCGCGUAGGCGGCUUUGCAAGUCGGGUGUGAAAUCCCCAGGCUUAACCUGGGAACUGCAUUCGAGACUGCAUUGCUAGAGUAUGGGAGAGGGAAGUGGAAUUUCCGGUGUAGCGGUGAAAUGCGUAGAUAUCGGAAGGAACAUCAGUGGCGAAGGCGGGACUCUGGGCCGAUACUGACGCUGAGGAGCGAAAGCGUGGGGAGCAAACAGG